GCCCAGGUCGCCUAACCCGGUAUGGCACAGCGCUGGAAACGCUGCGAGCGCAAGCUCUUGGGGGUUCAAAUCCCCUCCUGGGCG
rnacentral:tRNA from 1 species